rnacentral:rRNA from 1 species
CGAGUGAAGCGGCAACAGCUCAAAUUUGAAAUCUGGCCUUCGGGUCCGAGUUGUAAUUUGUAGAGGAUGCUUUUGGUGAGGUACCUUCCGAGUUCCCUGGAACGGGACGCCAUAGAGGGUGAGAGCCCCGUCUGGUUGGAUACCGAUCCUCUGUAAAGCUCCUUCGACGAGUCGAGUAGUUUGGGAAUGCUGCUCUAAAUGGGAGGUAUAUGUCUUCUAAAGCUAAAUAUUGGCCAGAGACCGAUAGCGCACAAGUAGAGUGAUCGAAAGAUGAAAAGCACUUUGAAAAGAGAGUUAAAAAGUACGUGAAAUUGUUGAAAGGGAAGCGCUCAUGACCAGACUUGGGCUUGGUUGAUCAUCCAGGGUUCUCCCUGGUGCACUCUUCCAGCCCAGGCCAGCAUCAGUUCGCUGUGGGGGAUAAAGGCUUCGGGAAUGUGGCUCCUCCGGGAGUGUUAUAGCCCGCUGCGUAAUACCCUGUGGUGGACUGAGGUUCGCGCAUCUGCAAGGAUGCUGGCGUAAUGGUCAUCA